AAUUUACGUGUGUGUGUGUGUGUGUGUGUGUGUGUGUGUGUGUAGCUGAAAUAUGUCUUGGACCCCAAAAGAAAUCCAGAUGAAACAAUUAUACGAACCCAGUUUACCAAAGUACAGCAAGUUACCUUGCAACGCAGAGACUUUUUGACUCUGGGCUUGGCACGGGAGUUGGAGGUCACAAUAGCAAAUUGCUGUUUUCAAAUAAUCACCCAAAUAGCACAGUCACAGCAAAAGGAUGUUUAUGCAGUGGAUUGCUAUGUUGUACCAACAUGGCUACCUCCACAUUGUCCGGAUACCUUGUCUUUCCCCGUAAAUAUAUUAUUAUUAUAUUUUUUGAAAUAGUUAAUUUAUAAUUAUUUACAAAAAUAAAGGUUCAGAUCUGUUCUGCUUUUUAUUUCUACAUGAUU